GGAUACACAAGGAUACGAAAGUGAAAGUUCUUUAUCAAUCCCUGAAAACUCAACUGUUUCCACAAAGAAAAGAGGCCGCAUAGCAACUACAGGAAAAUCGAUAGAGAAAGCAAUUACUGAAAAUGUUAGUGUCUAUUGUUUGAUAUACAUUUCUCUUUUUUGUUACAUGUACCUAAUUAUAACUAUAUAUAUUCUUUUAUUUGUGAUUAGAAAGGACAAUUAUUAGAAAUUGAGUUUCCUGAAGGUUUUAAAAAGCCACGUCAAUUUGCUAAUCACUUAGCAACUGGAAUUGGAGUUGUUAUUAGGCACAGUCCUGAACUUGAUUGUAUGAGUAACUGGAGUGACCUUGCAGAACACGAAAAGCUACCUAUUUAUGCUGGAUUAGAUACAUGGUUUAAUAUCAAAGGAUGGGGAAAUAAUCCAGUAGUUCAAAGUUAUAUGGAGGAGAUGUUCCAAAAAAGUUAUACGCAUUGGAAAGGUCGAUUAUCAGGAGCUUAUAAACGUAUGAUUGAAGAAGAAAAAGAUCCCAAGGCUUGUAGUCCGUUUGAUUGGAUAGAACUUCGAAAAUGGCGUACUUUGUGUGAUUACUAUGAAACUGAAAAUUUCAAGGUAUUAUUACAAUUGGUUUGAUAUAUAAAUAUCAUUUUGUGAAUUGUGUUAAAACUUUUAGUAAGAUUUUAACUUUUACUAUACUCAUACUUCAGGUUCAAAAUCAUUUCAUACACGGCUAUUGCAAAUGGUAAUAUAUUGAUUGAUUUUGAUUGAUAUUUGUUUAGUUUGGUAAUGUUGGUUAUAAUAUUUUAUUUUUCUACCCUAUACUAAUACUUCAGGUUCAAAAUUAUUUCAUACACCGCUAUUGCAAAUGGUAAUAUAUUGAUUGAUCUUGAUUGAUAUUUGUUUAGUUUGGUAAUGUUGGUUCUAAUAUUUUAUUUUUCUAAUUUGAAAGGAAAAUCAAAGCUACGUGGAUAUUUUUGCCAUGACUCAUAAGAGAAAUGAUACUUUUGUGAAUGAGAAGG